GCCAUGGCUUAGUGGUAGAGCAUCUGCUCUGCAGGCAGAAGGUCUGAGGUUCAGUCUCCAGGUAGAACU